UUUUAACGCUCAUUAGGUUUGUGACCCUGAAUUAGAAGUGUUUCAUUACACCCUCUUCACGUAAAAACCCUCUUCCUAAUCCUUGGUUUAGAAGACAAAGGUUUUUGAUUAAUACUAGAUUGGUUUCUUGCAAGAAUGCCCUCUACAGUCUUAGAAUAUUGAUGGCAAAGGCUAAGGGUUAACAUAUUUUUGGCUUCACGAGCUCUGAAGCUUUUUUUUGUCUCCCUUCAAAUUAUAUUAAAUUGCUUUCGGGUAAUGCCCCAUCCUUUUCUGUGCCGGGAAUUUCUNUUCCCCAGCCUGUCAGUGAGAAGAACCCAACCCUCUUGCUGAUGAAUACUGCAUUGAGGUUUGAAUUAUUGAUUAGUAAGCUUAGAGCCUCUGAAGGAGACAAAAGAGGGACGGGAAAAGCAGAGAAGGUCUGAAGCAUAAUGUUGCCAUUUUCUUCACAAAACUGCUCCAUCUGUCCAGAGGUGGGAAUGAAAAGGGACUACANAACCAGUAUUGCUCUACUGGGGCAAGGGAGGGCUCCUCUGGUUCCAAAUUUCCCUGCACACGUUUCUGACCCUAGUAGUCGUGAACCUUNCAGAUGGAGGCUAUUGGGGGACAGCAGCCAAAUUCUUCCGCAGAAUGGCGGCACCCCCCUCGGUAGCCGAAGCUGGAAGAAUGUAAAAUUGCCUUCUCUAGGGGCCCCUGCUGGGCCGGCAAAGGCGAAAGCUGGCAAGGACCAGAGUUCCUCCGUUCCCUCCCCAGGAUCAAGCAGCUGCUCGAAACACAACUGCACCUACCUGCACUUUUCGCGGCCCGUUCAGUUUGCGGUGAAGCCCUUUCCCCGCAAAGCUCGGUGUGAUCUGCCCAGCUCCUGCCGGCGUGGGCGGCUGGACGCCCUCCGUCCCUCUGUCCACCACGUGGUGCAGCAGCUGAUAGUCAGCGGGAUGACCUGCGNGCCCUCUCCCAAGGCCGGCUCGCCUUUGCUGCCACAGAUCGGAAGGCCAAAGACCGAGAUCCACGUCUACGUCCCUAAUGGGGCGGAGAACAGGGAUGCCGAGGAGCCCCCGGAAGGGAUGGAAAAGAGACCCAGCUCUUGUAAUGCACAGGAUUCGAACCUUCAACCAUCCGCCUUGGCUGGAGGAUGCGUAUGA
rnacentral:lncRNA from 1 species